rnacentral:rRNA from 1 species
UAAAUACUAAUACCAGAUCGAUAGUGCACAAGUACCGUGAGGGAAAGGUGAAAAGAACUGAGGUGAUCAGAGUGAAAUAGAACCUGAAACCAUUUGCUUACAAUCAUUCAGAGCCCUAUGUAGCAAUACAGGGUGAUGGACUGCCUUUUGCAUAAUGAGCCUGCGAGUUGUGGUGUCUGGCAAGGUUAAGCAAACGUGAAGCCGUAGCGAAAGCGAGUCUGAAUAGGGCGCUUAGUCAGAUGCUGCAGACCCGAAACGAAGUGAUCUAUCCAUGAGCAAGUUGAAGCUAGUGUAAGAACUAGUGGAGGACUGAACCCAUAGGCGUUGAAAAGCCCCGGGAUGACUUGUGGAUAGGGGUGAAAGGCCAAUCAAACUUCGUGAUAGCUGGUUCUCUCCGAAAUAUAUUUAGGUAUAGCGUUGUGUCGUAAUAUAAGGGGGUAGAGCACUGAAUGGGCUAGGGCAUACACCAAUGUACCAAACCCUAUCAAACUCCGAAUACCUUAUAUGUAAUCACAGCAGUCAGGCGGCGAGUGAUAAAAUCCGUCGUCAAGAGGGAAACAACCCAGACUACCAGCUAAGGUCCCUAAAUCUUACUUAAGUGGAAAACGAUGUGAAGUUACUUAAACAACCAGGAGGUUGGCUUAGAAGCAGCCAUCCUUUAAAGAAAGCGUAAUAGCUCACUGGUCUAGUGAUUUUGCGCGGAAAAUAUAACGGGGCUAAAGU